GGACUACUGGGGUUUCUAAUCCUGUUUGCUCCCCACGCUUUCGCGCCUCAGCGUCAGUCUCGGUCCAGUGAGCCGCCUUCGCCACCGGUGUUCUUCCCAAUAUCUACGAAUUUCACCUCUACACUGGGAAUUCCACCCACCUCUCCCGAACUCUAGUUCCCCAGUCCCAAAUGCAAUUCCCAGGUUGAGCCCGGGGCUUUCACAUCUGACUUGAAGAACCGCCUGCGCGCCCUUUACGCCCAGUAAUUCCGAACAACGCUCGCCCCCUUCGUAUUACCGCGGCUGCUGGCAC
rnacentral:rRNA from 1 species